GCGAGCAGAACCAGCAGAUUUACUUCGGUAAUGACGCUGGGGACGCGAGCGGCGGAUGGGUGAGUAACACGUGGGGAACCUGCCCCAUAGUCUGGGAUACCACUUGGAAACAGGUGCUAAUACCGGAUAAGAAAGCAGAUCGCAUGAUCAGCUUAUAAAAGGGGGCCUAAGCUGUCCCUUUGGGAUGGCCCCCCCGGGCAUUAACUAGUUGGGAAGGGAACGGCUUACCCAGGGAAUGAUGCAUAACCCAAUUGAAAAACUGAUCGGCCCCAUUGGGACUGAAACCCGGCCCAAACUCCUACGGGAGGGAACAGUAAGGAAUCUUCCACAAUGGACGCCAGUCUGAAGGAACAACCCCCCGUGAGUGAAAAAGGGUUUCGGAACCUAAAGCUCUGUUGGUGGUGAAAAAGGAUAAAGGCAGUAACUGGCCUUUAUUUGACGGGUAUCCACCAGAAAGUCACGGCUAACUACCUGCCCGCCGCCGCGGUAAUACCUAAGUGGCAAGCGGUGUCCGGAUUUAUUGGGCGUAAAGCGAGCGCAAGCGGAAGAAUAAGUCUGAUGUGAAAGCCCUCGGCUUAACCCAAGAACUGCAUCGGAAACUGUUUUUCUUGAGUGCAGAAGAAGAGAGUGGGACUUCAUGUGUAGCGGUGGAAUGCCUAGAUAUAUGGAAGAACACCAGUGGCCAAAGCGACUUCUCUGGUCUUGCAACUGACUCUGAAGGCUCGAAAGCGUGGGUAACGAACAGGAUUUAGAUAACCCUGGUAAUUCCUGCCGUA
rnacentral:rRNA from 1 species